GAUGAAGAACGUAGCGAAAUGCGAUAAGUAAUGUGAAUUGCAGAAUUCAGUGAAUCAUCGAAUCUUUGAACGCACAUUGCGCCCAUCAGUAUUCUGUUGGGCAUGCCUGUCCGAGCGUCAUUUCAACCCUCAGGGCCCGUUCGCGGGAACUGGUGUUGGGGAUCGGCCUCCCCCCGGAGGCCGGCCCCGAAAUGCAGUGGCGGCUCUACCGCGAUCUCCUCUGUGUUGUAGCGAUACCUCGCAGCUGGAUAGUGGUGGUGCCACGCCGUAAAAUCCCAACUUUACCAAGGUUGACCUCGGAUCAGGUAGGAAUACCCGCUGAACUUAAGCAUAUCAAUAAGCGGAGGA
rnacentral:misc_RNA from 1 species